rnacentral:rRNA from 1 species
GAUGAACGCUGGCGGCGUGCCUAAUACAUGCGAGUCGAGCGAACAGAUGAGGAGCUUGCUCCUCUGACGUUAGCGGCGGACGGGUGAGUAACACGUGGAUAACCUACCUAUAAGACUGGGAUAACUUCGGGAAACCGGAGCUAAUACCGGAUAAUAUAUUGAACCGCAUGGUUCAAUAGUGAAAGACGGUUUUGCUGUCACUUAUAGAUGGAUCCGCGCCGCAUUAGCUAGUUGGUAAGGUAACGGCUUACCAAGGCAACGAUGCGUAGCCGACCUGAGAGGGUGAUCGGCCACACUGGAACUGAGACACGGUCCAGACUCCUACGGGAGGCAGCAGUAGGGAAUCUUCCGCAAUGGGCGAAAGCCUGACGGAGCAACGCCGCGUGAGUGAUGAAGGUCUUCGGAUCGUAAAACUCUGUUAUUAGGGAAGAACAACUGUGUAAGUAACUCUGCACGUCUUGACGGUACCUAAUCAGAAAGCCACGGCUAACUACGUG